rnacentral:rRNA from 1 species
GACAGAGGGUGCAAACGUUGUUCGGAAUUACUGGGCGUAAAGCGCGUGUAGGCUGUUCGGCAAGUCGGAUGUGAAAGCCCUUGGCUCAACUGAGGAAGUGCAUCCGAAACUGGCAGGCUAGAGUACUAAAGAGGAUCGCGGAAUUCCCGGUGUAGAGGUGAAAUUCGUAGAUAUCGGGAGGAACACCGGUGGCGAAGGCGGCGAUCUGGGUAGAUACUGACGCUGAGGUGCGAAAGCGUGGGGAGCAAACAGG